GGUCUAUUAGUCUAGUUGGUUAGGACGUCGGAUUCUGAUUACGUUCAGAUUCUUCCGUAGGCCCAGGUUCGAAUCCUGGAUGGACCU